rnacentral:rRNA from 1 species
GACGAACGCUGGCGGCGUGCUUAACACAUGCAAGUCGAACGGAAAGGCCCUGCUUGCGGGGUACUCGAGUGGCGAACGGGUGAGUAACACGUGGGUGAUAUGUCCUGCACUUCGGGAUAUGCCUGGGAAACUGGGGCUAAUAUAGGAGAGGAGACCUCCUUCGUGAGGUGGUUGGAUGGAUUUUUUGGUGGGGGAUGGGCUCCGGGCCUAUCAGCUUGUUGGUGGGGGAAUGCCUUACCAAGGCGGCGAUGGGUAGCGGGCCUGGGAGGGUGACGGGCCCAAUGGGGCCGGGGUACCGCCCCAGCUCCUUCGGGGGGCAGCAAGGGGGAAUAUUGCACAAUGGGCGGGAGCCUGAUGCAGCGACGCCGGGUUGGGGAUGACGGGCUUCGGGUUUGAAACUCCUUUCGGUAGGUGCGAAGGUGUGUGUGACGGUACCUGGAUAAGAAGCACCGGCUAACUACGUG